AAGAAGUAGACAUGAGAGCAAACCUACAUUCAGAAAAGCGAAAUUAUUUAAAAAAAAAUUAUGAUUGAUUUGGGGUUAGUAUUAUUAUAAUUAUUACUAUUAAUAAUAAUAUUUAAUUAUAAUAAAAAAUACCGUUUAUUUGGAAGUGUUAUGGCCGAGGGUUAGUACCUAGUAGCAAGCCAGUGGGACCUCAGUAAUAAUGGAGUCCAUUCAUUGAUUAAAAUAGAGAGAUGGAAAGUAGAAACACACAGUUCACAGACAAGACAGAAAUACCACUAGUAGUGAACUGAAGUUACCACACGAACGAAAAAAAAUACCAGACGGUGCAUGUGAGCGCGAGACGAUCAAAAGUUUUUUAUGACGGAUACUGAAGGGAAUGCUGAAUCACUGAUGUGAUGAAUUUACAUUUAUAAUGCAGUGCUGUGUUGGUGGGGUCUUGAUGAUCAGUUUUGAGUUUCAAGGGACCCAUACGGAGUGUCGUUUCGGUGGGAGGCGCGCGAGAACAGCGCGGGAGCUGUUUCCCGAUGCACAAGAGACUGCCAGUCCCCGCACCCGCACCCACUCCCACUCACUGCAGCUUUUCUUCUUUCUUAACUUCUUUUCUUUUCGCUCGCGAUUUUC
rnacentral:lncRNA from 1 species